rnacentral:rRNA from 1 species
GACGAACGCUGGCGGUGUGCUUAACACAUGCAAGUCGAACGGAAAGGCCCUGCUUUUGUGGGGUGCUCGAGUGACGAACGGGUGAGUAACACGUGAGUAACCUGCCCUUGACUUUGGGAUAACUUCAGGAAACUGGGGCUAAUACCGGAUAGGAGCUCCUGCUGCAUGGUGGGGGUUGGAAAGUUUCGGCGGUUGGGGAUGGACUCGCGGCUUAUCAGCUUGUUGGUGGGGUAGUGGCUUACCAAGGCUUUGACGGGUAGCCGGCCUGAGAGGGUGACCGGCCACAUUGGGACUGAGAUACGGCCCAGACUCCUACGGGAGGCAGCAGUGGGGAAUAUUGCACAAUGGGCGGAAGCCUGAUGCAGCAACGCCGCGUGCGGGAUGACGGCCUUCGGGUUGUAAACCGCUUUCGCCUGUGACGAAGCGUGAGUGACGGUAAUGGGUAAAGAAGCACCGGCUAACUACGUGCCAGCAGCCGCGGUGAUACGUAGGGUGCGAGCGUUGUCCGGAUUUAUUGGGCGUAAAGGGCUCGUAGGUGGUUGAUCGCGUCGGAAGUGUAAUCUUGGGGCUUAACCCUGAGCGUGCUUUCGAUACGGGUUGACUUGAGGAAGGUAGGGGAGAAUGGAAUUCCUGGUGGAGCGGUGGAAUGCGCAGAUAUCAGGAGGAACACCAGUGGCGAAGGCGGUUCUCUGGGCCUUCCCUGACGCUGAGGAGCGAAAGCGUGGGGAGCGAACAGGCUUAGAUACCCUGGUAGUCCACGCUGUAAACGGUGGGUACUAGGUGUGGGGUCCAUUCCACGGGUUCCGUGCCGUAGCUAACGCUUUAAGUACCCCGCCUGGGGAGUACGGCCGCAAGGCUAAAACUCAAAGGAAUUGACGGGGCCCCGCACAAGCGGCGGAGCAUGCGGAUUAAUUCGAUGCAACGCGUAGAACCUUACCUGGGUUUGACAUGGAUCGGGAGUGCUCAGAGAUGGGUGUGCCUCUUUUGGGGUCGGUUCACAGGUGGUGCAUGGCUGUCGUCAGCUCGUGUCGUGAGAUGUUGGGUUAAGUCCCGCAACGAGCGCAACCCUUGUUCACUGUUGCCAGCACGUUAUGGUGGGGACUCAGUGGAGACCGCCGGGGUCAACUCGGAGGAAGGUGGGGAUGACGUCAAGUCAUCAUGCCCCUUAUGUCCAGGGCUUCACGCAUGCUACAAUGGCUGGUACAGAGAGUGGCGAGCCUGUGAGGGUGAGCGAAUCUCGGAAAGCCGGUCUCAGUUCGGAUUGGGGUCUGCAACUCGACCUCAUGAAGUCGGAGUCGCUAGUAAAAGCAGAUCAGCAACGCUGCGGUGAAUACGUUCCCGGGCCU